AGUUGUGGUGGCUUUCUUUCUGGCGCAUUUGUUAAGUUUUCAGAUGGGCCUGACUCUGCCACAUGUAUUAUUUAGGAGCUGGCAAAGGCUUGAUGACAGAGAUAUCUCUCUAGCCUUUCCUGCAUCAGCGAUUGGCUCUCACAUGU
rnacentral:snoRNA from 9 species